rnacentral:lncRNA from 1 species
CUUAAUAAAAUCACUAUAAAAAAUGCAUACCCUAUUCCACUCAUUUCCGAAUUGUUCGAUAGACUUCAGGGAGCUAACGUAUUUACUAAGCUUGACCUUAGGAGCGCUUACAAUUUGGUUAGAAUUAAAGAGAAUCAUGAGUGGAAGAUGGCAUUUAAUACCCGUAGUGGACACUAUGAAUAUCUGGUAAUGCCAUUUGGGUUAUGCAACGCCCCGGCCGUAUUCCAAGACUUUAUAAAUUAUGUACUCAGGGAAUUCAUUUACUCAUUUGUUUU